rnacentral:rRNA from 1 species
CAGUCGCCGCGGGAAUACAGAGGGUGCAAGCGUUAAUCGGAAUUACUGGGCGUAAAGCGCGCGUAGGUGGUUCGUUAAGUUGGAUGUGAAAUCCCCGGGCUCAACCUGGGAACUGCAUCCAAAACUGGCGAGCUAGAGUAGGGCAGAGGGUGGUGGAAUUUCCUGUGUAGCGGUGAAAUGCGUAGAUAUAGGAAGGAACACCAGUGGCGAAGGCGACCACCUGGGCUCAUACUGACACUGAGGUGCGAAAGCGUGGGGAGCAAACAGGAUUAGAUACCCCGGUAGUCCCUGUCUCUUAUAC